CCUACGGGGGGCAGCAGUGGGGAAUAUUGCGCAAUGGGCGAAAGCCUGACGCAGCGACGCCGCGUGAGGGAUGAAGGUCUUCGGAUCGUAAACCUCUGUCAGCAGGGAAGAACGGUCACUGUGCUAAUCAGCAGUGAAUUGACGGUACCUGCAAAGGAAGCACCGGCUAACUCCGUGCCAGCAGCCGCGGUAAUACGGAGGGGGCGAGCGUUAAUCGGAAUUACUGGGCGUAAAGCGCUCGUAGGCGGUAUGUCAAGUCAAGGGUGAAAUCCCCGCGCUCAACGUGGGAACUGCCUUUGAAACUGGCAAACUGGAGUGUGUGAGAGGAUAGUGGAAUUCCGGGUGUAGGAGUGAAAUGCGUAGAUAUCUGGAGGAACAUCAGUGGCGAAGGCGACUAUCUGGCACAUAACUGACGCUGAGGAGCGAAAGCGUGGGUAGCAAACAGGAUUAGAUACCCGUGUAGUC
rnacentral:rRNA from 1 species